CCCGCUGAACUUAAGCAUAUCAAUAAGCGGAGGAAAAGAAACUAACAAGGAUUCCCCUAGUAACUGCGAGUGAAGCGGGAAAAGCUCAAAUUUAAAAUCUGGUGGCCUCUGGUCAUCCGAGUUGUAAUUUAGAGAAGCGUCUUCCGCGCUGGACCAUGCACAAGUCUCCUGGAAUGGAGCGUCAUAGAGGGUGAGAAUCCCGUCUUUGGCAUGGAUGCACCAGGGCUUCUGUGAUGCGCUCUCAAAGAGUCGAGUUGUUUGGGAAUGCAGCUCAAAAUGGGUGGUGAACUCCAUCUAAAGCUAAAUAUUGGCGAGAGACCGAUAGCGAACAAGUACCGUGAGGGAAAGAUGAAAAGAACUUUGGAAAGAGAGUUAAACAGUACGUGAAAUUGCUGAAAGGGAAACGCUUGAUGUCAGUCGCGUCGUCCGGGGAUCAGCCUUGCUCUUUUGCUCGGUGUAUUUCCUGGUCGACGGGUCAGCAUCGGUUUUGACCGUCGGAAAAUGGCUCGAGGAAUGUGGCACCCUUCGGGGUGUGUUAUAGACUCGGGUCGAAUACGGCGAUUGGGACCGAGGAACUCAGCACGACCUUAGGGUUCGGGGCUUCGGCCCACGUUAACGUGCUUAGGAUGCUGGCAUAAUGGCCUUAAGCGACCCGUCUUGAAACACGG
rnacentral:rRNA from 1 species